AUACGUAGGUGACAAGCGUUAUCCGGAUUUACUGGGCGUAAAGGGCGUGUAGGCGGUCUUGCAAGUCAGAUGUGAAAUACAUGGGCUCAACCCAUGGGCUGCAUUUGAAACUGCAUUUCUUGAGUGAAGUAGAGGUAAGCGGAAUUCCUGGUGUAGCGGUGAAAUGCGUAGAUAUCAGGAGGAACACCAGUGGCGAAGACGACUUACUGGACUGCAACUGACGCUGAGGCGCGAAAGUGUGGGGAGCAAACAGGAUUAGAUACCCUGGUAGUCCACACUGUAAACGAUGAAUGCUAGGUGUAAGAGGUAUCGACCCCUUUUGUGCCGGAGUCAACACAAUAAGCAUUCCGCCUGGGGAGUACGGCCGCAAGGUUGAAACUCAAAUGAAUUGACGGGG
rnacentral:rRNA from 1 species